GACGAACGCUGUCGGCGUGCUUAACACAUGCAAGUCGAACGGAAAGGCCCUGCUUUUGUGGGGUGCUCGAGUGGCGAACGGGCGAGUAACACGUGAGUAACCUGCCCUUGACUUUGGGAUAACUUCAGGAAACUGGGGCUAAUACCGGAUAGGAGCUCCUGCUGCAUGGUGGGGGUUGGAAAGUUUCGGCGGUUGGGGAUGGACUCGCGGCUUAUCAGCUUGUUGGUGGGGUAGUGGCUUACCAAGGCUUUGACGGGUAGCCGGCCUGAGAGGGUGACCGGCCACAUUGGGACUGAGAUACGGCCCAGACUCCUACGGGAGGCAGCAGUGGGGAAUAUUGCACAAUGGGCGGAAGCCUGAUGCAGCAACGCCGCGUGCGGGAUGACGGCCUUCGGGUUGUAAACCGCUUUCGCCUGUGACGAAGCGUGAGUGACGGUAAUGGGUAAAGAAGCACCGGCUAACUACGUGCCAGCAGCCGCGGUGAUACGUAGGGUGCGAGCGUUGUCCGGAUUUAUUGGGCGUAAAGGGCUCGUAGGUGGUUGAUCGCGUCGGAAGUGUAAUCUUGGGGCUUAACCCUGAGCGUGCUUUCGAUACGGGUUGACUUGAGGAAGGUAGGGGAGAAUGGAAUUCCUGGUGGAGCGGUGGAAUGCGCAGAUAUCAGGAGGAACACCAGUGGCGAAGGCGGUUCUCUGGGCCUUUCCUGACGCUGAGGAGCGAAAGCGUGGGGAGCGAACAGGCUUAGAUACCCUGGUAGUCCACGCUGUAAACGGUGGGUACUAGGUGUGGGGUCCAUUCCACGGGUUCCGUGCCGUAGCUAACGCUUUAAGUACCCCGCCUGGGGAGUACGGCCGCAAGGCUAAAACUCAAAGGAAUUGACGGGGCCCCGCACAAGCGGCGGAGCAUGCGGAUUAAUUCGAUGCAACGCGUAGAACCUUACCUGGGUUUGACAUGGAUCGGGAGUGCUCAGAGAUGGGUGUGCCUCUUUUGGGGUCGGUUCACAGGUGGUGCAUGGCUGUCGUCAGCUCGUGUCGUGAGAUGUUGGGUUAAGUCCCGCAACGAGCGCAACCCUUGUUCACUGUUGCCAGCACGUUAUGGUGGGGACUCAGUGGAGACCGCCGGGGUCAACUCGGAGGAAGGUGGGGAUGACGUCAAGUCAUCAUGCCCCUUAUGUCCAGGGCUUCACGCAUGCUACAAUGGCUGGUACAGAGAGUGGCGAGCCUGUGAGGGUGAGCGAAUCUCGGAAAGCCGGUCUCAGUUCGGAUUGGGGUCUGCAACUCGACCUCAUGAAGUCGGAGUCGCUAGUAAUCGCAGAUCAGCAACGCUGAGGUGAAUACGUUCCCGGGGCU
rnacentral:rRNA from 1 species